GACAGAGGGUGCAAACGUUGUUCGGAAUUACUGGGCGUAAAGCGUGCGUAGGCGGUUCGCUAAGUCGGUUGUGAAAUCCCUGGGCUUAACCUGGGAACUGCAGUCGAUACUGGCGGACUAGAGUACGGUAGAGGGUGGCGGAACUCCGGGUGUAGCGGUGAAAUGCGUAGAUAUCCGGAAGAACACCGAUGGCGAAGGCAGCCACCUGGGCCUGUACUGACGCUGAGGUACGAAAGCGUGGGGAGCAAACAGG
rnacentral:rRNA from 1 species